rnacentral:rRNA from 1 species
GGGUUGUGAGGUUAAGCGACUAAGCGUACACGGUGGAUGCCCUGGCAGUCAGAGGCGAUGAAGGACGUGCUAAUCUGCGAAAAGCGUCGGUAAGGUGAUAUGAACCGUUAUAGCCGGCGAUGUCCGAAUGGGGAAACCCAGUGCAAUCCGUUGCACUAUCGUUAAGUGAAUACAUAGCUUAACGAGGCGAACCGGGGGAACUGAAACAUCUAAGUACCCCGAGGAAAAGAAAUCAACCGAGAUUCCCCCAGUAGCGGCGAGCGAACGGGGAGCAGCCCAGAGCCUGAAUCAGCAUGUGUGGUAGUGGAACGGUCUGGAAAGGCCGGCGAUACAGGGUGACAGCCCCGUACACAAAAUU